rnacentral:lncRNA from 1 species
AUGCCCGGUUCCCGGUGCCCGGUGCCCGGUUCCCGGUGCUCGGUGCCCGGUAACCGGUGCCCGAUGCCCGGUGCCCGAUGCCCGGUUCCCGGUGCCCGGUGCCCGGUUCCCGGUGCUCGGUGCCCGGUAACCGGUACCCGGUGCCCGAUACCCUGUGCCCGGUUCCCGGUGCCGGUGCGCGGCGCGGAGCUGUCCGCCGCGGCGGUGCUGAGCGGGCGCCGUGCCCAGCCGCCUGCCCCGGCCAACCGCCGCCGGUCCCUUCACUGUCCCCGCCACCGGGGCUCAUCCCCCGCCGGCCGCGACCCCGGGACGCGGAGCGGGCUCCCGGGCACACGGCGCCUCUCCCCCCGGCCCCGCCGGCUGCAGGCACCGGGCACCGGCACCGGGAGUGCGGGCACGGAGCCCUCGGGUUCCCUCGGGGAAGCCGCUUCGGGGGGGAAAACUCGCGUGGGGGCAGCGUACGCCGUGCCCCCGCGGCCCCACGGAUUUGGGGGAAAAUCCGGUGUUUUCGGGGCAGCGGGCACGGACGGCCCCGUCCGGGGUUGGAAGCGGCCCGACGGGAAGCGGCUCCGGCCCUGCCCCGACGAACCGGGCCCGGCCGGGGCAGAGGGCCCCCCCGAGGUGCUCGUGGCCUCCCCGAGCCCCCCCAAAGCCCCGCGGACCCCGGCCCCGGCCCUCGCCGGUGCCCGCGGGGGAGCGGAGCCUCUUCCGACGGCCGCCGCCCGGCCCCGGGACGGGAACGGUUUCUCUGCGGGAAAAGCCCCGGGGCGGGGGGCUCGGAGCCGGGGGGGCUCCGGGCGGCCGGCGACUGCGGCGGGGCCGCCAAAGGGGCUCGGAGCCGGUGUUUGGGGCCGGUACCGGCACCGGGGCCCGGAGAUGCGGCGGCGAAAGGCGGGAGCCCACCGGAAAGGGGAUGGGGGGGCAGGCGGCGGGACCCCCAGGGGGGCUGCGGGAGGAAGGGGGGGGACCGGCAUCUGCUCGCCCCCGGGGCUCCGGGAAGGGCCCGGUGUGUCCGGGCUGCACGGCGGGGCCGGGUUUUAA